GCCGCCAUCGCUUCCGGUUGGGGGGUCAGGCGGCGGCGACGAAAAGGGCGCGAAAGGCGCGAGGACGGAGAGCCAGCGACGACCGCCAUGUGACGAGGGAGAGAAACACGUUUCCUGAUCAAAGUUACAAAGUGGUGGAGGAGUUAGUGUUUCCUGCGACAUUAUUCACCAUUGGCUCUACUUGUAGAUUUAUCCUCGGCAUUUUGGGGCGGAUGCGGCGAAUCUGUGAAGUUAGAAACCAGAUUACUUGAAAAAAAAAUCUGCUGAUAUAGGUCAUAGAAGUUGUAGGUUUGGAGGUGUUGUUGAAGAAGCUUCGGUGAGUAAAUGCAGUGCACUUUGUGGAUGGCCAUGGUGUGCCAGUGAAUUAAUGUUUAAUCAAGCUUUUAUCAAGUUGUUUAAUCAAGUUGUUGUAGCAAUUCUAAUCCAGGCAAGUGGAAAUUGGUGUCAGCA